rfam:Gossypium raimondii Chr03_contig_613, whole genome shotgun sequence.
AGCUCAUGAUGAGGACACUUACGAAAUAACUUCUUGAAUCGCUCCCAAGCCUCAUACAAAGACUCAUCAUCUAAUUGUUGGAAACUUGUGAUCUCAUUCCUUAACUU